UACGUAGGGGGCAAGCGUUGUCCGGAUUUACUGGGCGUAAAGCGCGCGUAGGCGGAUUGUUAAGCGAGGUGUGAAAGCCCCCGGCUCAACCGGGGAACGUCGCUUCGAACUGGCAGUCUUGAGGGCGUGAGAGGAGUGUGGAAUUCCUGGUGUAGCGGUGAAAUGCGUAGAUAUCAGGAGGAACACCCGUGGCGAAGGCGGCACUCUGGUGCGUACCUGACGCUGAGGCGCGAAAGCGUGGGGAGCGAACGGG
rnacentral:rRNA from 1 species